CCUUUGACUGGUCAAAAUAGGAACCGAUAGAAACGGUAAGGGUUUGUUUGCUUCGUCCUUUGUUGAACGGGAAGGGAAGAACGUCUGCGCGAGCAGACGAAGGAAAAAGAGAGUAAAGCGAAGGCUCAUCGGUCGAUUUGCAAAGCCGAGAUGGUCUCCGAAUCUGAGGUCCGACUUGGCCGAAGAAUAAAUGGGAGAAGUAGCGAGGAUGUGCUCUUCUGGGUCGGCUGCUAGGUGCGAAGGAGGACGAUCGAUCGGUGACACCGUGGAUUUGAUGGUGCGGCGGUGGCCGACAAAUCGCGAGGAGAGGAGGGCGUCGACCUCCGACGACCCUCCUUGGUCCAUUUGUUCCGUCGUUGGUAGCCACAGAUCGAGAAAAAUAACGCAACGAAGAAUAACGGACAUAGCCACAGUGGGCAGCUCCGGUGUUCAAGCGGUUUGCGAGGAAGGGAUCCUCCUAUCUCCGGCGACCCGUCUAUGGGAUCCCUGCUCGUCGCCGGCGGCAGCAAUCAGAAGGAAAGAAGCUCAGAACUAGUGGCAGUCGACAUUUGAGGAACAAGGAAAAAGUAACACUUGACAGCUCACAAUGAGAAAUAGCUAGUCAAGCUCACAAUGAGAAAUAGCUUCUAAGUUCUAACUAGAUUGUUUUGUGUGUAUCUUUGUAUAAAAUGGUUUGUUUUGUGUGUAUCUUUGUAUAAAACAAGGGUUGUACAAUAAUUUGUACAAUUUGUAUAAAUAUAGAAAAUUGUUCAAAAUUUACAUAAUAUUUAUUAUGUAAUAUGCCUUUAUUUUUUAUAAUGAUAGUAAUUUUUUUUAUA